CUCCCUUCAACCCCCCGUCUAUAAGUGAGAGCUAAGGCAAGUUUAUCUCUCUGUCUCUCUCUCUUUACCCUGUUCUUCCAGUCUGAGGGGUGUCCUAGCAAGCCCACAGAGAAACACCCCAUUCAGAGCAUCUAGUAGCAAGCUCUCUUAGUUAGUAGUAGUAGUUAUCUGAAGAGGUUUCAGUAGCAAGCUCUCUCUCAACAUCCGUAGUUAUCUGAAGAGGUUUCAGUAGCAAGCUCUCUCUCAACAUCAGUAGUUAUCUGAAAGUUUUUCAUUCGUAAGCUCUCUCUCAACAUCAGUAGUUAUCUGAAGAGGUUUCAGUAGCAAGCUCUCUCUCAACAUCAGUAGUUAUCUGAAAGUUUUUCAUUCGUAAGCUCUCUCUCAACAUCAGUAGUUAUCUGAAGGUGUUUCAGUAGCAAGCUCUCUCUCUCUCAGUAGUUAUCUGAACGUGUUUCAGUAGCAAGCGCUCUCUCAACAUCCGUAGUUAUCUGAAGGUGUUUCAGGGAGUUGCCAAGUCAUCUGUGACAGUCCAUGAAGAGUUUAAACCACUUUCCUUUUGUCCUUGACCAUGUUAUGAAACUGAGUGCCGUCAGAGCUAGAAAAGGGGCUAAAUGUGUCUAAUUAUGCCAAAGUUUUACUUGAAGGAGCGCCCUAGUCAGGCUAGCUGGCACUUGUCUCGUUCAGUUUCUUCAAAAGUCCAUUCUUUAAUGAGAUGAUAGAGUGCUCAUUUGACUAAUUCAGUAAAACAUUUAUAGCAUCCCCUUUCAUUAAUAAUUUAGUCAGUUAUACAUUUUUUUCUGACCAUCGUCUUCAGUUUUUUUCUUCAAGAAACCCUGUUAUUCUUGCUGCCUGAAACUAGGGCAGGCACAAACCACAACAGAGGCAGAGGCCGCACCAAAACUAUCCCACUCACUCUGCUGUCUUGUUAUACAGUUAUGGGAAGAAUUAAUAAAAUAUAUAUUAAAGACAAGAGGAACAUUAACCAUGAAUUCAAUUCAAUUCAAUGCAAUUCAGUCUUAAGCACAAAGGAAAAACUCCCUCUUAACAGGAAAAAGCCUUGAGCGUGGUGGUGGGGUGGGGGGGAGCAUACUGCUUACCAUACAACAUGAUAAUGUAAAUGACUGAUUAAUAUCCUGAUAUUUUGGAGAGAUUUAAAUUCUAAUCUGUUAUUGAGUGUGUCUAAGAGCCUUUAGGAUCCUUACGCACAAGAUCACUUCCCCGAUGACAUUGUCCCGCCCCGUCCCGAUGGAUUCCCAAGUGGAAUUCCAGAUGUUCUAAAUGUGGACAGAGAAAUCCUGUUUACAGCCUUCUCGGUUCAAGAGAUAACUUGUGGGAACACAACUCAUGAGGAUGUGUUUGGCUUGCUGGGGGAACGGUGGUGUCGUCCACAGAGGAUGAGGAGGAUGAGGAGGAUGAAGAGGAUGAACAAUCAGUGGCCUGAUCAUGAGGAGCCACGGCUGUCGUGACUGGAGGAUCAGGAGCCAGUAAGAGCAGCAGGAGGUGUUGUAACCUGACAGAAAGCAUUCAUCACACCUGCGGCAGGCUUCCCUCAGACCCCCCCCCCCC
ensembl:lncRNA